AUGCUCUAAUUAACUCUGCUCUGGGAGGCGAGGCUCUCACGAGAGAGAGGAGAGAGAUGGGGGUGGGGGGUGGAGAGGAUUGGGAGCACUUCAGAGAAAAGAUCUGAGAGAAAAGCCUGGGACUCUGCCACCCAGCUCCCUGGCCCCUGGGAGAAGCCAUGGCAGAUAUUUGGGAUGAGGCAGCAUGCUGGUCCCUCAGCAGCAUCCUUAUCACGUCAGCUGUGAGAGAAAUAAAACUGUGAGACUGUGAAGUGUAUAAAGGAUUCUACCGCUCUCCCGGGGCUUGGAGACCCACAGAUUGGAGAAAUCUCCAUCUCAAUCUUCUUUGCCACGUCAUGCAUGCCCUUGAAGCAUUAGAAUUCCUUAAAGCUUCAUGGGAGAAUGCCAUGGGAUGAUGAAGACAGAGAUUGGAGUCAUGCAUCUGCAAGCCAAGAAAUGUACAAGAUUGCUGGCAAACCACCAGAAGCUAGGAGCAGACAAGGAAGGAUCCUCCCCUAAAGGUUUCAGAGGGAGCCAUGGCCUUGCUGACAUCUUGAUUUCAGACUUCUAUCCUCCAGAAUGGGGCCAUCCAUGGAGGGCUGGAUGGUGUCCUCACUCUCCCAUCACACAGCUCUUCUGAUGAUGUUUUUGCUUGUCUUUCUGGAAGUUCGCUCUGAUCCAAAAUUACAUCUGCAAGGGGCAGCUGAAGUCCAUCAGUUCUGUGAAGUCUUCUGGGAGUUGCCUCAGCCUAGAGAUCUCUUCCUCCAUUUCUCCAAAUAUUUCAGUUAGCUCUAAAUGAACAAUUAGCAUCUCCUAAUUGUGCAACUAUUUAAUUUUGGUUUCCUCAACCAAGGAGUUAAUCCCUUUCUGAGGGCAGGUACUGUCAACUUCUUUUGAUUUUUCUACACUGCAUGUGGCCAUCCCAGAUAACUCACUAACAAUAAAUUCUUGAUGACAUGACUCUACAUGGUAAGACGGCACUACUCACUUGCCAAGAGCCAAACAGAUAUUUUGGAAUCAUUUCCCAGAUAGUGAUAAAAAAUGGGCACAGACCAUUUGUAAUCUUUCAUCCCAUCUUCCUUUUGACUAGUGUCAUCCCUGUAAACCAUGAGUGAUCAGGAUUACAUCUCUACAUUCAGCAGGAGUAGAAUAGAAUUUCCAUUUGCACACAAAACUGACUCACUGAGAGCAAUUUAGUGAUCUCAGUAGAUGGGCCUGCUGCAUGGAAAGGCAGCCAACAGAUGGGGAGUGUCCCUAUCUUAGCCAGAGGAGGGGAAAGUAUGGGAUUCAAUCUGUUUCUUUAAAAGCUGAAGGAUAAACUGAAGAUGAUGUUCAUAAAAACUGUAUUUCCAUUGUUAAGGAGAAAAAUAGAUAGGUAAGCUCAGCCCUCUUUUGAUAAAAGUUGAACAGAGAGGUGAAAAAGGGAAUCCAUUUGUUUAUGCACUUAUCCUAAAGAGAACAUUGAAAGUCAAGGGGGUAUGUCCAGUGGUUUGCAAAGUGGUGUCUCCAGGGGACAUUUACAGUCAAUGUCAUCUACAGAAAGUUGCUGUCUUUGCUAUAGUGAAGGGCAAAUCAUCUCCCAAUUGCGCUGCUUUUCAAGAUUCCAUGAGGAGCUCUACUCUUGAAAAUUUCUGAAUCAAAAUAGAAUCUUAAGGAGUCUAAUUCUAAAUACAAACUUCAUGUGUAAGAUUCUCGCCAUGGCUGUAUGGCAGGUUUUUAAAGAAAGUAUGAGAAUGGUGUAUUUUAUCCAAGUGCUUGUUGCUGUUUUGCUCACUGGUGUCCUAAGCACCUAGAAAAGUCCUUGGCAGUUUUUAGGUGCACAAUAAGUAUUUAAUUUUAUUAUUCCUAAAUUAUUGGUUCGAUGAUUGGGUGUAUACAAGUGCAUAUGUGGAUAUGUGCAUUUGAAUGGAGAGAAAGAAAAAGUACAUGCUUACUCUCUGUGCUAUAAUGUCUCAAAUAUUAAAUCAUGACAU
rnacentral:lncRNA from 1 species